GAAUGAUGUUGAGGCUAUCAUUACGGAGCAAAUACUUCCUAGGAUGGCGCCCAUGUUUCCUGUUAGUUGCAACCAUCCAAAGGCCAUGCCUCGGGUGCUCUCUUCUGUGGAGUCUGCAACAAGGGACUGAAUUGCAGAAAUAAUGAAGAAGAAAAAAGUCAACGCCAUCAACAAACCCACAAAAAUUUCAGAAGUAGUACUAUUAUAAUUAAACUAAACAGCAAUUAAGGAGGGUAAAGAGGAAGACCUGGAAGAAGGUGGAGGAGAAGGCGACAAGAAAGGUGGCAGCAGCCCAAAGAUACGCACCAAUAGCGAUGACAAAGGUUCGAUCAUGGCGGGUGGCAAGGUAAGCAGCAAGAGGGUAGCAAGAAGACUGAACUAUGCAUCUGAAGAGUGUGAGGGAACCAAGACCUGUGGGAUCAAUAUUAAGGGCUGCUCCCACUUCUUUGUAUACACCUGGGAGUAAUGACUCGUCUGCUCUUUCUAGUAUUCCUGCUAUAUUUACAAGCAGAAGUGUUACUGUCUCUGGACUCAUUUCUUCUUUUCCUCUUUUGCCAGGGGAGGAAGAAUACGUUUUCCUGUUUUAUUGUCUUUUUUUUUUAAAAAAAUUUACAGCAAUUCUACUGUCUGUAACAAGUAAGACUGUAACGAGGGCUGCCAAUUGCCAACUCGACAGGAUGUUGCGAGCAUCCAGAGAAAUUACAGGGGUAUUUCGGGUUUAUUGGGGUUGCAGUAUGAAAAAUCACUAUUAUGGUCCUUCUGGCUUUGGUAGGAGCACGGAAUAUCUUCUUCCCAAGUUGGAGUCAUAGGCCCUAGACAACAUAAAGUUGCCUUUUUUUUUUUGUGUUAUUUAUAUAUAUAUUGCAGUAACAGAAAGAACAGAAAUCGCGUUGAAUUGAAGUUACUUACUCCCAAAAAUCCGGUACUUAAACCGAAAUUAAGCAUUAGUUUAAUUGACAUAGAACCAGUGGUGUAUAAAAUAAAGCAUUGUAUCUGAAAAAAGAGCUCAUUGCCUCAUGCUGUCAUUCAGCGGAUUAUAACUCUAGUAGUCCAGUACUAUUACUAAACUGGAUGAUCGCGUUAACACGUGAAAAUAUUCCAUAUUGCUUGUUUAGGAGCCUAGGGAUGGUUAAUGACUUAAUGUUAAUUGUUUUCUAUAAGCAGAUUAAGCUGUACGUUUGUUUAUUUGCUCAUCUAUGUUUUCUAACAAGAUAAAGCUUAAAGCUUGAACAGAUCUUACAUAUGUAUAUUUGGCCGACAGGUUUUUUAUAAAUAGUAAAAUAAUAUUAUUAUUUUUAUAACAAAAAAGUGAAAUAUUAUAUCGCA